rnacentral:misc_RNA from 1 species
UAUGAAGAACGUAGCGAAAUGCGAUACGUAAUGUGAAUUGCAGAAUUCAGUGAAUCAUCGAAUCUUUGAACGCAUAUUGCGCUCUUUGGUAUUCCGAAGAGCAUGCUUGUUUGAGUAUCAGUAAACACCUCAAAGCUUUUGGAUUUUUUAAUCGAAAAGCUUUGGACUUGAGCAAUCCCAACACCAAUCUUUUUGAGAUCGGUGGCGGGUUGCUUGAAAUGCAGGUGCAGCUGGACAUUCUCCUGAGCUAAAAGCAUAUUCAUUUAGUCCCGUCAAACGGAUUAUUACUUUUGCUGCAGCUAACAUAAAGGGAGUUUGACCGUAUUGGCUGACUGAUGCAGGAUUUCACAAGGGUCGGCAACGAUUCUUGUUAAACUCGAUCUCAAAUCAAGUAAGACUACCCGCUGAACUUAAGCAUAUCAAUAAGCGGAGGA